UUAUUUUAAAUAUUUGAAAUUUAAAAUUUGAUAUUUUAUAUGUUUCAAAUUUAAAAUUGAUCUUAAAUUUAAAAUUUAAAAUUUUGAUUUCAAAAUUUGAGAUUUCAAAUUUCAAAUUUUGAAAUUUCAAAGUUAAAAUUUUAAAUUUAAAAAUAUAAAUUUAAAAAUUUAAAAAUUCAAAUUCAAAUAUAAUAAGAGGGUAAUAUCAUUAUUUUUUAUUUAUAAAAUCCACUAUCCUUCUUAUACCAUUUUACCUAACCAAACGCUAGUUUUUUUAUUCCCAGAAAUAACCCAAUUUUCAUCCAAACGCAAAAUUGAUCUAAUCCCCGCUUAUACUUCAAUUUAUACCUAUUCCUGAAAUAGUCACUUUUUGCUUAUCCUCGAACCAAACGAUACCCGACUUAGUUCUCUUCAGGUUGUACUCUUUUUUGAAAAAAUCUUACUUUUAUUACAUGAAAUAAUAAUUUUUUCACAAAUUGCUCACUUUUUCCAAUUUUGUAAAAAUUGUACUUUAGCCCCUCUGAUUCAUAGUUUCCUACCUAAAAUUUACUUAUAUAUGUAUUUUGCACAUGAGUUCUUUUCACUGCCAAUUCUUGUGAUUUGACAUAUAAAAUAUUGCCAUUUUUGCAAUAACAUUUUAUUUCGUCGAUCCCUCUCUCGAAUAUUUUUGUUUUCAAAAUAUUAUUUUAUCG
rnacentral:lncRNA from 1 species